UACGUAGGGGGCAAGCGUUGUCCGGAAUCAUUGGGCGUAAAGAGCGUGUAGGCGGCUCGAUAAGUCUGCUGUGAAAGUCCAGGGCUCAACCCUGGAAGGCCGGUGGAAACUGUCGGGCUAGAGUCCGGAAGAGGCGAGUGGAAUUCCUGGUGUAGCGGUGAAAUGCGCAGAUAUCAGGAGGAACACCGAUUGCGAAGGCAGCUCGCUGGGACGUGACUGACGCUGAGACGCGAAAGCGUGGGGAGCAAACAGG
rnacentral:rRNA from 1 species